GUUUCUGUGUGAGUGUAUGUGUGUGAGUGCGAGUGUCACAUCUCGUCCAGAGAGGAUCUUGGUGAGGAGCCGGAGGAGUCUGCACAGGUGGAAGUCAUCUGCCUCAUCAGAGCGCGCGGGGGAUUUAGGAGCGGCAGAUCCUUCCUUCAGUGCUAGAUGAUUACGUUCAUCGGGUUUUUGUCUCUCCGCUCGUGAGUUCUCCUGCGAGCACCAGCCUGCCUGCUCCGUUGCUCUCCCCGCCGCAGCUUCACUCCUGCAAGCCUCCGGUUCUCCGAACACCCCCCUCGCACUCACCUUCGGACCGCCGAACUACCCUCCACUCAGAAUCCUGGCACCUCCCCCAUGCUACAGCAAACCACCGUGAAGCCCACCUGGUCGAGUCAUUCUCACCCCCUCACUGAAGUCCUGCGGUUUGAUAUAUUGUGUGUCCUGUUGAAAAAUAAAUACUCACUAUUUUCUAAGAGACGUGUGGUUUCUGCAUGUGGGUCAGAAAGCUAACACCCAACAUGUCAGAAUCAUCUAGCCAGCAUGACCCAGCAGAACCAUCACCGGACCCUCACGCAG